CCGGGCCUUUACGCCGUCUUAGCAAACGGGCACCGGUUUCAGGAAAGGAUGUCCAACGACCGUCAACGCAGGCGCAGACUAGCGCUUGUUUUCACGGAGAUAUCACCGGUGGUGUUAACGUGAAGCGGUCUUUGCAAGGACCGCACAAUGAAACGGUACAUCUGUAUCUUUAUCGUUGUCACCGGCGCGGCAAUGUUUCAGGGCAAAGGAAGUUGGAGUAUCUCCAAUAAUUUUCUCUCUGUAACAAUUGACGCAUCGGGCAAGUAAGCCAGAAAGCCGUCCCGUAAGGGACGGCUUUCUUU
rfam:Rahnella aquatilis CIP 78.65 = ATCC 33071, complete genome.